UUUUUUUUCUCUUAUUUUUCCUGGUUUUAGAUUUAUUUUGCUUUUCACACUAAAAAUUACAAUUGUUCAUAGAAAAACAACGGAAUUGGAUGUUCUGAGUCCAUGUCAAGGCAUAAAACGGGGAAUGGAAACGCUUUAGGAAGUACAUCUAAGCAAAGAGAUGUAGUCAGUCCACUAAUACUAAACAUGUGCAUUUAACAUCAAAACAAACCUAUAUUUAGUAUUUUGAUCGCCGAUAUGUUUUUUUUUAGUUAUGGGGACGCCAUUUUAAAUUACCAUAGUAACGACCGACGCCAGUGCGCCACUGGCAGGAAUCAUCAAAUUGACUUUGCUUCUAAUACACCAUGAAUGUACGUGGAGUGUGACUCGAAGGGCGUGUUAGGUGCGGACAACGAAGAUGGCAACAACAAGUUGUAAUUCAAACAUGAACUGUAUAGCGCCAGGCUGUAUGAAUUGGCUCCCAAAAAAUGACUCUCGGUAAACUACCAUCGGCUGCCCAAGGACGCACAACUUUUGAAGAAGUGGCUCCAUGUCCGGAAGAGGAAGGACCUCCCAACUCGAGCUAGCAGGACCUGCAGACAGCAUUUCGCUGAGGCAGACUCCGCGAUGAAGGGCACUUAAGAUGCAGCAACCGGGAGUUUCCGAAUGGAAAGGAGUCAUAAGCCUACGUUUAAGCCCUCUGCUUGCGCCUCCAUUUGAAAUUGAGGGUUAUGAUUUAAGGGUUACCGGCCGACCAUCAUCAACAUCGCAGACUUUGGAGUCAAGCAAAAGCGACUGAACGGAGGAGGCAAUGCAAUGGAGCCAGAGGAAAGAACAGUUAGUACAGCAUACAAAACUGACCCCUGGGUGCCAGAGUGUUCCUGUGCUGUGGUGGAGAAGAGGUCCACGGGACCAUCACUAAAGAGCUCGGGGCCCAGCUAAAUUGCGCUCACGACCAUCAGUAUACAACCGAGUCCUGCCCAUAAAAGCCACAGAUUGAGCUGACGGAGAGUGAGAUCAGUGAAGAUCUUAACUCGCUGUAUGAACCUGAGAGCUCAGAAUCACAAUGAUAACAGUGCGAGCCGAGAUAUACUAUCGAUCACUUUGGGGGAGUGGGCUGGUGUUCCGAAAAUGGAGAAGGAGCAGGCCAUUCAACAGCUAAUUCAAAGAUACACCCAUCCAUAAAGGGAAUCUGAGUGGAAUUGUUUAUCCACUGAUUAUUAUUUUUAUUUUUUAAAAACCUAUUUAGUUGGAUGCGCUACCUUGUCCCGGUCCUGCUGUUUCGACUCUCUCUCGACCUAUGAAUGCUUAGCUAUGAAAAGCCAACUGGCAUUUGCUCUGAGUUGUUGAACUGUUGCACCCUCUAUAACCACUGUGGUAAUUAUUUUGAUGAUUUAAAAGGGUCUUUUGUAAAUACAUUUGAUUGUUUGCUGUGCUGGAUGUCUGAGUGAUGGGACAUUUUUAUAGUAUCUGUAACAUAUUUGGGUGUGUAUUUAAUCUGCAUCUUAACUUCUUAAAGUGGCAAUCAGCAGUAGAAACAGUCUCCCUGCUUCUCUUUCGGUAAAAAGCUGAGGGAUGGGGCUGGAGAAAUGUAACCACUCUCAAAAGCAAGGACUGACCAUCCAUGAUAUCAAAAUUGUAAUCCUUUUCUAUGAUCUGUUUUCACUACCAUGUACCCAGUUCGCUUUGGAUAAAGGCGUCUGCUAAAUGGCAUAUAUUAUUAAAGUCUACUUUGACUCUGCCAACUA